GCGAGGGGCAAGGAAGGAAGUUUGCAGAGGGCAAGAGAAAAUGAAUUCAGCACUCAAGAAUGAUUGGGACAGAGGGACUGUGUGGGGCCCGAGAUCCUGCACCCUCGACUCAACACUGCCAAACCCUUUCAUGCCUCAUUUGCCACCAAGAUGGCACUACCCACAAUGCACCAGGCAUGCCAGUUCAUAGACCACUGAAGUCACUGCAAUGUACAAAAGAUGGGGGUACCCCACCAAAUUCCUAGUAUCAAGAGAGGGGAAAACCACCAUCAUUGGGACCCCAGAGGAAGGAAACCGCAUACUGAGCUCUUGGGACAUCGCACCAUUUGAGCAACCCAGCUCGGAGAGGAGCAAGACCAGAUAUGCGAAGCAGACAAGGGCACAAUGUACCAAAUAUGGUGGACCUGCCUGAACAUUAGGGGAUACUGGAGGGAAGUAGAAUAGAUUGUCACGGGGGCCUUACACGUCAAGACCAAACUGCAGCCAGAAUGUGGAUUAUUGUUUAUGACACUUGAUUCUUACACAAAACCCCAAGCUGUCUUACUGUACCAAAUAUUGAUAGCUGCUAACCUUAGGAUUGCCAGGCAUUGGAAACAGGCUCAAACACCUGAGAACACUAGUUUGAUACAACAAAUCGGGUCGCAAGAGUAUUCUGAGAAAGGACAGCAACUGAAGUAGCCUGCCCUUCGGUGGGACCCCGCUCAGAACCCAAGCUGGUUUUAGCUCAUCUUGUGCCAUUACAGAGAGAACAUCUCUGAAACAUAUCAGACUGGUCCCACCCAUA